rnacentral:lncRNA from 1 species
CAGAGAUUCACGCCCCACGAGCGGUCGCUAGUAUAGGGUAGAAAAGGUGAUUUCCUUUCGAUAAGAAAGUGCAUUUCUAGCGUAGGUUGGAAAGCCGACAGUCCGCAGUCCCUGGCAGUGGGAGGUUGUUUGAGGGGCGCUGCCGGGGGUGGGGGUGGGGCUGAGCGCUGGGUCAGCCCCUCCCCAACCUCCCCCAGCCUCGGGCCAGCCACGAAUGUGGGUGGUUGGGGGGUGAAGGCGGAGGACGGGUGAGGAAGGAAGGGGCUGGGAAAUGCGAAGAGAUUAUUCUGCCUCAGGAACUACAUAAUGGCCGGGAAGGACCGCCAAACAAGACUGCAACCAAUAGGAAGUUGUACGACGCUCCUACAUUUGACUCAACCACAGGAACAAUUGCACCAGAAGGGGCAAAAUGUCCCCCUAAGAGGAAGAGAAGAGAAAACAGCAAUUGGUUGAGUACAUGAAUUGUCAUCCAAACCAAGACUCCUUGAGAAUGGCAAAUGUCAAAUUGGAAAGCUGAGACAACAAGCAUAAACUGCACCAGCCCAGAUAAACUGGGACGUGUGAUCCCCCAACAGCACCCAUCUUGUGCGAGGUCCUAUUCUAAAUGCUUCAUAUGAAUUAAUUCUCAAAACCUUAUGAGGUAGGAAUUAUACUCAUUUUUCAGAU